CUCAUCUCCAUAUACACGAAUUACACUACCUGGACGGUUUCCAGAGCCUGCGGCUGCUUUAUUAGUUUCUGUUAACGGAAUGGAGAUGAUGACACCAUUUCCUGUUCCUACCCAUAAACGAUUACAAGACACCAUAAGAGCUGUGAUUCUCACAAAUGAGAAUCCCAGUUUACCAGUACCUAACAUUUUGCUUACAUAAGGUUCAAUGUCCACAUCUUGCAGGUGCUGAUACGUGUGUGCAUGAUAGAGACGCAGGGUAGAGUCCAAACGAAUCGACACCCAUACCCCAUCACCCACCCAUGCCAGCUGUCUCACUUGGCUUUCUCUUCUUGGGUGUGCAUCAAAUGACUUCUCUAUUUUCAUGGCCUUUGGUUGAACAACAUAGAUUUUGUUCCUGUAGCCACACCAGACUUUGUCAUGCACCACUGUCAUGCAUCUUAUAGAAUGAUGCGGCCGGCCCAGGUCUAAGAGGUGAUAGUUUGUCAAAUCCCACUGACCAUCAACUCCUCGGUGAAAUAUUGCUAGUGUUCCAUCAGCUAGUGCAACUAAUACUAUUCCUUUCACAUGUACAAUACUGAGAAUAGAAUCUUUAAGUUUAAUGGCAUGAAUACAUUUCCUCCAGUGAGCCACUGACGAAUGAACAUAGAGGCAUCCAUUCUGUGUUCCAAGCCACAUUGUUGGUAAAAGGCUACUCAUUUUCUGUGCUUCUUCUCUCACUAGAUCUUGUUCAUUUGGCAAAACUGCAACAUCUUUAUAUAGCUCUGACUCAGUGCCAGGCUGGUAUACUGGAGACGCCUCUGUGUUCUGCACUCCCAGAGGAUCUGUAAAGACGUGCUCUGUAUAGACUCCAGUUUGUCCAAUAUCAGUUAUAUCUUCUGUCCCUGCACUGACUUCUGUUGCUUCUGUCGCCUCUUCUGCAGUUGGAAUGUUGUCAUCUACUGAAUUAUUUUCAUUUGCAAUAUCUGACUGUUUCUCUGCCAUUGGUGAGGCACCGUUUGCACUAUGACCUACAGGUGCUCCUGUAACACCCUCUGCAGUACAGCCAACCACUGUUAUUCCUCCCAGCAUGCUAUCAGUCUCAGCAGAGCUGUUGCUUGUCAUACUUCCACACAGAGAUGACUUGUCCACCUGAUUGGGAUCCACUUCUUGAGACCCUUCCUCUCCUGCAGGAUAGUCU
rnacentral:lncRNA from 1 species